AGCAGAUGGAUUUCUACUACAAUAUUUUAUAAAAAAUAUCCAUUAAUUUUAAUCCUAUCCCAAGAAAAAUAUUAAUUUUUUUAAUAUAUUUUGCGAGUUUAUAUAUCUUUAAAAUUUCCUAAGCCGCUCCUGUUCGCAUUGUAAAGGUUAGGAAAUUUCCUAUUUAUUUGUGUAGCAAUAACCAACUACGUAGAUUGUUAUUGAAAACAUCCAUUAUUCGAGAAUGAAUCCUCUAAAAGGUUUGGUGUUUUUCCUUUAAGUUUUGAGCGCUAAAAACCCUAUGAUAUUAUUGGUCAGAAUUUUGAAAGAUCCUUGAGUUGUAGUUGACGAUUGGUCAAUAGUUUUGGCCGAACGAUCGAGAAGAAAUGCAUCGUUGGGACGCGAGAGAGACGUGACGAUGUAAAGUUAGUUCUAAAAGUACAUCAGCUCUGUAAGCAUCUUUUUGUUAGAACUCAAAAAGUCGCACUUUGCCGGCCAAAAUGGUUUUCUUCUUAUAGUAAAAGAACUAAUGGAUUUCUAACAUGUCAAGGAAUAUAAUGACAAUAGUUUCACGGCAUUUUAAUGGAUAUAUUAUUGUGAAACAGUUCUAUUGUUAUGCAGUUUGAUUUGCCGGUAAAAGAAGUGCGUGGUUUCCUGGUUCCUGUCCUUUAUGUAGCUGUUGCUAUUUUUAUGAUGUUUUGAUUUGUUCAUGUUCCAGUAAGAAAUGCCCAGAUGAUAUUAUUUGGUAUCGAUUUUAUCCAGUUUUGUAAUGAUUUGAAUAUCUUCCCCUCCCAGCCCCGUCUGAAUGGAAAAUUUUGCAGUUCCAAGUGUUGUGACAUGGAUUUUUGUUUUAACAAGGUAUGAUAAUGUUUAUUUUAAAUAAUUCACAAGUGGAUAUUAUUGGUAAAGGUUUUACAUAAUUAAAAAUGUUUGUUUUCAACAUGGAAAAUAUAUUAUGUAAAGUAAAUAUUAGAUGGCAGUGACAUUUGACAGCCAUGUCAAAUUUUUGUUUUGGUACACUGCUAAAAAUAAGGUUAAAAAUUGUAAAAUCAUGUAUUUUGUUAUUAUUAUUCAUUUCUGGUUUGAGAAUGUGUCUAUUCUCAAUAAAAAUAAAAAGGUAUUAAGGUUUAGAUAAACAUUAUAAAAUGUACACAUCUUUAUUUCUGUAACCUCUUUAUUUAAGAAAAUUAUUAACAGAUAUCUAAUACAAGUGAAUAAGUUUUAGAACAGAAGAAAAUAUAAUGGCAUAGAAGCCAAAUGAUAAUAAGUAGCCCACUAUAACCCCAACGAGGAAUCUACGAUGAAUGUCCCCCAGUUGCUUUCCAGUAAGUACUCGAUAUGAGAAUUUGAGGAUUUUUCAAACGGCGUCCCAAUUUGUUUAAAUAGUAGGAAAGUCCUCAAGUCUGUGUAAGUAUCCUUUGCUUAUUUGGUUAUGUAGUUUAGUCUUCUUUAAACCCUCCUACCCCUCCCAACGAAUCUACGACCUGCCACCGCACAAAAAAUGAGCUGCCGUUCGCAUGAAGGUUUGCGUGUCUGUUCCUUCUGCUAGCCCCAUUUCGACUCCCCAGUAUCUCUAUAGAUAGUCUUUCCUUGAUCCCAUUAGAGCAGACAGGUAAAACGCUUCAAAUUGCGCCCAACGUGUGGGGCUCUAAAACGCUUCAAAUGGCCCCGGCAACGUGGGGCCUGUACUUUUUUUGGCCUCCCUCAGACCCCAUUUGCAUGUUCCCACUACCAUGUCCUUUUAGCCUCCUUUCGGUCUCAUUUGUACUACAACUGUUAGGCAGUGCCCGUCUUGGGUAGCCGAUCUCAGUUUGUGGUGCAAGUGUUUCCGAUAACAUGGAAGCUCGACUCGUGUCAUGUUUUGUAUGCCCAUUGUUACAAGUCUAGCUUGUAGACAUGUUCAACUAGUAGUUAGCCUAUCUACUAGUCCCCAAUGUCUUUAGCCACCCCCCACUUAGUGUUACAUUUGUAACGUACACCCUGAAGUUUGACCCGAGUAAAUAUCGCCCAAGUCUUCCCAUGUAGUUUAGCCCAGAUUCCUCUUGUCUUGCCCCCAGAAACUGUUUCAUGUCUGUUAGUGCCCCCGAAACUGUUUCAGUCUGUUAGUCCCCAUGAAAGAGCCCAUUUUUGUAGUUUUUGUUGCAAAAGUUAAUAAUUUUUCCAAAGAGGUGUAAGUAUGUACACAUUUUGUUGUGAUGUUGAUUUGGUCGUGCUGUUGAUUGUAUAGGCAUGUACCAUUUCAUGCAUCAUAGUGUAUUUAACUUGUAACCCCAUAUGUAUACUGGUAUUGUAUUGUAUUGUAAGUAUCGUAGAACAGAAUUGUAUGUUAUUGUAGCGUACUAACUGUAUUGUAUUGAUAUUGUACCCAUGAUGAAAGCAUUGAUUUGAAUUUUUUUGAAAAUAUUGAUGAAAUAUAUAUAGACAAACAGUUGAAUAAAAAAGUAACGUAAAAUUUUUUUGAAAAUUUUGAUUAAAAGUAACGUUAAAUAUUUUGAAUAUUGAAUCCAAUUAUGAAGUAUAACAGUAUGUUGUAUUUUUUGCAUGUAUUCCUAUAGAUCAACAGUUUUUUUACAGAAUAAUCGUUUUUUGUGAUUUAUUGAUUUGGUCAUUUGAUUAGAUGUGUGAUGUUGUUGGUAUGGUCCGUGUAUGAGCUUAGCCCCGUAUAGUCUGUGUGAGAGUAGUCCCUUGUUUUUCCAGCGAAGCCUAUCUCUGUUGGUGUAUGUCAUGCCACAGGUUAGUUGGAGAAGUCAUCCCAUUGAGAAGUCAUCCCCUUGAGAAGUGGCCCCGUGAAGAAGUGAAGAGGGAAACCGUGGAGAGGCCCCCCACUUCUGUGUUUUUUUCAAGCAGCCAGGAGAAAAGCUGUCACUUUUAGAUUUGAAGAUAGCGUUCUCUGUCGACACUGUUUGAGAAUAACUGUCUUGAAGUGUAGAAGUUAGCCCCUGAAAAAGCCCCCCCCUUGUCUGUGUUGCCCCUUGUUUUUUUUUUUUUUUUGACUAAUCUAUCUUUGUAGGUGUCAAAAGGAUGCCAGAGGUUAGUUAAAAAGAGCCCGUGAAGUAGUAGUUGAAGUCUCCCCCCCAGUGAAGUAGUUGAAGUCCCCCCGUGAAUGAAGUAUGUCUUUUUGUAUCUGACAUGUCACAAGUGUAAUACUCGUGAUGAAGGAAGUGUUGUUCAGCUAUCUGUGAACACUUUCAUUAGUAGUCGGAGCAAGAAAUGUCUUAUCCCGUGUGAGCUCAUAUAGGAACCAAAUUUCAAUAUUGUUUGUGUUUGUAAGCCCCUGAGUAUAUCUAGAAGUCAAAAAGUAUGUUGUUGUCUGUUUGUUUGUCUAUCCCUGUUUUGUCUGGAAGUUUUAGAGCCCAUUGUCUGUUGUCCCGUGUUGUCUAUUAGCCUGUGUUGUCUAUUAGCCCGUGUUGUCUAUUAGCCCGUGUUGUCUAUUAGCCCGUGUUGUCUAUUAGCCCGUGUUGUCUGUUAGCCCGUGUCCGUGCUGGAGUUUGAUUUUUUUUGGCGAAUAGUUAGUUGACCUCUCUUCUCUUUGUUGAUUGAAAGUAGGCCAAGAGCAGAAGCUGUGACAAGGCUGGUGAGGUUAGGAUCUGGCCGCGUUGAGUACAGGUGAAGCUUGCUUUCGGUCGAUAAAUGGAAGCGGUUGUUCGUCAGAACUGUCAUACUUUCCAAUGUCCCUUUGGUCUUCCCCUUGCGUGUUGCUUUCAUCCCCUGUUUUGAAAAAGUAGCCCCCCGUUUUGAAAAAUAAAGUCCACCCCCAGUCUUGAGAAAUGAAAUGCCCCCAGUUUUGAAAAGUAAGUCUAUCCCCAGUUUUGAAAAGUAAAGCCCAACCCCCCUGUCUUGAAAAAUGAAGUCUAUCCCCUGUUUCGAAAAGUGAAGUGUAGCCCUGUUUUGAAAAUGAAGUCUUUCCCCAGCUUGUGAUUUGAAAAUGAGAGAGUUGUCUAGUGAACGUUCAUGAAAGGUUCUUAUGUCCUGGAUUGGACUGUUGAUUGAAAACGUAAUGAUGUAGUGUUCUCUAUAUCAUAUGUUGCGUUCAUUUCCCUUAGUCUUGUUUAAAAAGUUUGAUAUCCUGUUUGAACCCAGUAUACUAGUCUUUUUGGUCUUUUGUUGUUGUCACACAUACCCCCUCCCCCUUGUUAGUCUUGUUUUGAUUUUAGCCCUUGUUGUUGUCAUAUACCCCUUUGUCUAGCCCUGUCUUGUUUGAAUGAGUUGUUGAAGUAAGUUGUUGGUGAGAUUUUGUCUCACUGAGGUGUUUAGACUGGAUUGUCUAAAUCCUCGUUUUGCAGAACCGUUGCCGAAAUGUCCCGUGAAACUCGCUAGGUGUUAGCAGAGUUUGGGCAGAUGUUUAUCUGUCAAACAUCAACUUUUUAGUUUUUGUGAACCGCUCGCGGUUAGGCAACGAGGUGACAAGGCUGUGUCUGCCCUGGUAUGUCACUUGUGUUACUGCUGUGGAUGUCAGCGAGGUCCACACAGGGCACAAGAUUAUUUCUUUCCCAAGACACAGAAACUCUUAUCACCUACAGUUCUUAUUAGAGUCUUAACAUUUAAGUCUACUCGACUUUAAAGAGUCUGGCGAUUGAUGGCACGCUAGCCCAUUCCCUAAUGAUGUUUUGUUUUUGUUUAAUCCCCAUUAGCCAUUAUUUAAAUAUUUUGGUAUUGUUGUCCUGUCACACCCAAGAAGUCAAUGUUGGAUUUUUGUAGUUAUCGAAAACUGAAUUGGUAAUCCAGUUUCCUCUCUUCCGAGGAGGCUAUUGUAGCAGAUGGAUUUCUACUACAAUAUUUUAUAAAAAAUAUCCAUUAAUUUUAAUCCUAUCCCAAGAAAAAUAUUAAUUUUUUUAAUAUAUUUUGCGAGUUUAUAUAUCUUUAAAAUUUCCUAAGCCGCUCCUGUUCGCAUUGUAAAGGUUAGGAAAUUUCCUAUUUAUUUGUGUAGCAAUAACCAACUACGUAGAUUGUUAUUGAAAACAUCCAUUAUUCGAGAAUGAAUCCUCUAAAAGGUUUGGUGUUUUUCCUUUAAGUUUUGAGCGCUAAAAACCCUAUGAUAUUAUUGGUCAGAAUUUUGAAAGAUCCUUGAGUUGUAGUUGACGAUUGGUCAAUAGUUUUGGCCGAACGAUCGAGAAGAAAUGCAUCGUUGGGACGCGAGAGAGACGUGACGAUGUAAAGUUAGUUCUAAAAGUACAUCAGCUCUGUAAGCAUCUUUUUGUUAGAACUCAAAAAGUCGCACUUUGCCGGCCAAAAUGGUUUUCUUCUUAUAGUAAAAGAACUAAUGGAUUUCUAACAUGUCAAGGAAUAUAAUGACAAUAGUUUCACGGCAUUUUAAUGGAUAUAUUAUUGUGAAACAGUUCUAUUGUUAUGCAGUUUGAUUUGCCGGUAAAAGAAGUGCGUGGUUUCCUGGUUCCUGUCCUUUAUGUAGCUGUUGCUAUUUUUAUGAUGUUUUGAUUUGUUCAUGUUCCAGUAAGAAAUGCCCAGAUGAUAUUAUUUGGUAUCGAUUUUAUCCAGUUUUGUAAUGAUUUGAAUAUCUUCCCCUCCCAGCCCCGUCUGAAUGGAAAAUUUUGCAGUUCCAAGUGUUGUGACAUGGAUUUUUGUUUUAACAAGGUAUGAUAAUGUUUAUUUUAAAUAAUUCACAAGUGGAUAUUAUUGGUAAAGGUUUUACAUAAUUAAAAAUGUUUGUUUUCAACAUGGAAAAUAUAUUAUGUAAAGUAAAUAUUAGAUGGCAGUGACAUUUGACAGCCAUGUCAAAUUUUUGUUUUGGUACACUGCUAAAAAUAAGGUUAAAAAUUGUAAAAUCAUGUAUUUUGUUAUUAUUCAUUUCUGGUUUGAGAAUGUGUCUAUUCUCAAUAAAAAUAAAAAGGUAUUAAGGUUUAGAUAAACAUUAUAAAAUGUACACAUCUUUAUUUCUGUAACCUCUUUAUUUAAGAAAAUUAUUAACAGAUAUCUAAUACAAGUGAAUAAGUUUUAGAACAGAAGAAAAUAUAAUGGCAUAGAAGCCAAAUGAUAAUAAGUAGCCCACUAUAACCCCAACGAGGAAUCUACGAUGAAUGUCCCCCAGUUGCUUUCCAGUAAGUACUCGAUAUGAGAAUUUGAGGAUUUUUCAAACGGCGUCCCAAUUUGUUUAAAUAGUAGGAAAGUCCUCAAGUCUGUACGUCAGCCAAAGGGGCUUUCUUCGAGGACGGAACGAAGAACAGGAUAUUGUUUUAUUUUAUUAUUUUGAUUUUACUUUGUAUCUAAAGAACAAGAAUAUAUAUACUCAGUUUUGCUGA